rfam:Nasonia vitripennis chromosome 1, whole genome shotgun sequence.
CAAACGGCCCUUUUCAGGGCCAUCAAUAUAUAUAUUUACGUAGCU